UACGUAGGGUGCGAGCGUUAAUCGGAAUUACUGGGCGUAAAGCGUGCGCAGGCGGUUUGUUAAGACAGAUGUGAAAUCCCCGGGCUUAACCUGGGAACUGCAUUUGUGACUGGCAAGCUAGAGUAUGGCAGAGGGGGGUAGAAUUCCACGUGUAGCAGUGAAAUGCGUAGAGAUGUGGAGGAACACCGAUGGCGAAGGCAGCCUCCUGGGAUGACACUGACGCUCAUACACGAAAGCGUGGGGAGCAAACAGG
rnacentral:rRNA from 1 species